rnacentral:lncRNA from 1 species
CUUUUCUCAGUUCCCACUCCUUGCGUCAGGACUCCCCUCAAAUGAUGAAUUUACAAAGGAACCUGUUAACAGAGUAAUAAACUCGGCCUCCCCACCCAGUGCCUGUCAGCACUCCCACCCAAGACCUCCAGUCUCCACAUGGCUCCUUUUCUCUUUUCCUCUCUUGUCUCUCUAUCACCCAGAGCCCUUUUCAUGUACGGCAAUAUCUCACAUGGGGACAUCCUCAAUUCCCAAAUGACCUCAGGGAAACCUGACAUUUGCCCCUGACACUAAAACUUACCAAAAAUGAAAAAAAAAAAAAAUAGAAUUUCUAUGCACAAGUCUCCUUGAAUUUGGAAGCCAAGGAAAUAUUUUCUGCUAUUGCUACAGAUAGACUGAAGAAAGUUCUACUUGGAAAAACCAGAGCUGUCUGAAGAAUGUAGGGGAGUGAUGGAUAACAAAUUUCCUUUUGGGAGCAGACUUACACUUUAGAGGGGAAGCUUGAACUUCCAUGGGAUGGUUUCUCUUUACCUGUGUGUGACGUCCCUUUGCUCUUCCUUCAUCUUCUGCCAUGAUUGUGAAGCUUCCCCAGCCAUGUGGAACUGUGAGGGCUGAUGUAUAAAAUGCUACUGUAAAACCAAGCUUCCUGAUGGGAAUGGAAAUGAAAGGAUCCAGAACUAAUGGAGACCAGGUAGCAGCACUUGGUCAUCAGAAGCAAGGUUUGUGCCAGAGUCCUGCAUAAUGAAGCCUCUGAAGAAGAAAGGGCAAGAGCAGAAGCAAAUAUGCAAUUUUUCCUAAAACCGCUAUGUGAUAUUGAAAGCAUCAGCUUUGGGGCCCAUGUAAUGGUGUACCAUGGCCAAGGGUAGAAAAUUUUCCUUUACUUCAGCAGGAUCUUGAACUGGGAGAUGAAUCUAACGUAAGAUGCAAAGCAGGAGAGGUCAUAACAGCCAGACUACUCUGACUAGUCUAUAUCUGGAGUUGUUUGGAAGUCCCAGAGGACAGAGGACAUACUGCAUCAUGGAGAAUCCGAUGGGGUGAGGAAGAUUCAACAUCACUAUAACAGAUAUAUGGCCAAAGACAAAAAUUGAGAAAACAGUGGUACAAUAAGGUAAUAAGAGGCCAGCAUUCCCAAGUACAUAUGUGAGAAAAUUGAAGAGUUCAGCUAGUGGCCAGGAGGACUGUUUACAUGACCACAUAUGGAUUUCUUGAAAUACUUGAGAAAUUUAAGAAGAUCAAGUCUCCACAGUUUUUUAGAUGACAGCUGAGCCAGGAAAUACUGCCAUGUUAUAAUUCUCCCGAUCUAGUUUACCCCCAGGUUAAAUUGGCUGGAUUGGAACAAAACUGAUUUCUCAUCAGUGGCUUCAGUGGCUUACCUGUCUUCUAGAGUGGGAAAGCAUAAAGACAGAAUUAAUAACAUGAAUUCUAAAUGGUUUUUCUGUUUCAUUCAACAAAGACUGUGGAUAGGAAUAAUGCCUAGUAUAAACUUAGAUGCUUUUCCAAUGAGAAGAAUCUGGUAUAUUUUCUCUUGUCACUCAUCAUAAAAUAUCUCUGAUGAGUGAAUUAAACAAACUGAAGCAAACUACAGACCCUCUGGUUUUGAGGAAAUGUUAUAAACAGGUUUGAGUUUCAGUCCCAGCUCUGCCACUCUCUCACACAGUGACCUUUCUCAAGUCACAAAACUGCUGUGUCCCUCAGCUUACCAUCUGCAAUGGGAAAAUUAUAACAUUCUAGGAUCUUAAGCGUGCCACUCCAAAGAAAAUUGUGCCUGCAAAGAAAUAUGUUUCCACUUAUUGAAGUGGCUAAAUAGUCAAUCAUCAGAUAAUUUUCUUUGGGAGAAAUCUUCAUAGCCAUCUUUGAAAAACAUCUGGCCUAGAGGACAGUGCCGAUGACUGUUUUAUGGUUUAAUGCUCCAAGCCUCCUUUCUAUUUGUUUUAACUGGCACACUACAGAAACCUCUUUAAUAAUUGCCCAAGUUAUUUUCAUAAAGAGAUUUUUGUGCCUUUCAGACUGCAUAAUUAAAUUUCAUGUGUGCGUAAGUAUGUGAGAUAGAUGAUGGAUGGAUGGAUAGAUGGAUACAUAGAUACAUAGAUAGAUCACAGCUCAGGUUUGAAUUCUGUAACUGUGCUCUCCCCACUUAGUGAUUUAGAAUAAGUCAAGCAUAGACUGAACAUAACCCACAUCUUUUAAAGAUGCUGUGUCCACUAAGCUUGUUCUAAAAUAAGUAAAUAGUUCCUAGGCAUGCUUGAUUGUUUAUUAUUUUAUUAUUUAACAUAAAAGAGAGAACUUAACAUGGAAGUAAUUUUCAGAUUAGUUACCCUGCAGCUGCUGAACCAGGAUAAAAAAAAAAAGCCCCAGGGAAGCCAUUGCCAGUAAUGAUGGCAUUUUUCACACAUUACUUGAAAGUGGAACAAAUAAGGAGUCUGGUGCUUUCCAAACAGAAGAAAAAAAAAAACUUGAAAUAAAAGCAAAAAUUGAAUAGAAGUAGCUGAAUGCUUCUCAUUCUCUGACAAGGUCGUUCAGUGUGGCUCAUGGGAUGAGUCUAUCAGCUAAGUCUCACAAAAAGGAAAUCCCAUUCUUUAUGUAUACCCUUCACUGGAAGCUAAAUGGGAGGAAGAGAAUGUAGUGGAAUGCAUGAGGAAAGAGCAUCUUUAUCCCUAGAAAAGGAACAAUUUUUAGUCUUCAUUUUGGUUAAAGAUUGGCUAUAGAUUUAACUCAGCUAUACUGAAAGAAAUAUUGCAUUUGACGUAGGGUGCCUAAUAAUCUAACCUAUGUGACAUUCACAUUUCCCAAUCAUGUUUGCCAAGAAGAAAUCAAGCUGCAUAGCCCUGAGGGCAAUUAGAGAGGUAAGAGGGACACUGUUUACUGGGCCUCAGAGUCCUGAUUAUAGAUCAUUAUUAUUCAUAUUGAGUAACAGAAUAAACACUGGUACAGGAGUUCAGGAACAUAAGUUCUAGAUGUGUAUCUGCUUGUUGGCUGUGUCUCCCUCAGAGUUGGAUUAGAUAAAAAUUAUGAUCCUUUAUAGUUCUACAUUCUAGAGUUUUUUUUUUUUACAAGGAGCCAUGAAUAUCUUUUGUAAAUAAAUCAUUUUUAAGUCUCUCACUGAAUGAAUAACAUUCAUGCACACUAGAAUGCAGUUGUUCUGAGGGCAACUAAAAUUAGAGUGAUGACCCCACAUUCUGUUUUAGGAGUCUUUGAACUGCUAAAUUAAUGACUGAUGGGCAAUGAAUAUAGGGGUCAUUUUGUUGAAGAGAAGAAAUACUGUUCCACAGUUUUCUUGGGGGAUAACCCUGGGCCCUUGUCUUGAUUUGAAAAGGUACUCAGAAUGCAGAACACAGAAUUUCAGUAGAUUAUGAGAAAGUGAGACAAUAGAAGUAAAGAAUGGAUAAUUAUGUUGGAUUACUUCGCAAUGAGCUACAAAUUAUUUAGUCCCAAGCUGUCCAAUAAGGCGGGUAGUUGUCACUUGGGUAUUAAGCACUUGGCUAGUAUGAGUUGAGAUGAACCAUAAGUGCAAAAUACACAUUGAUUUUGAAGACUUUGUAUAAAAAAACUAUGGAAAAUAUUUCAAUAACAAUAUUAAUUACAUGUUGAAAUGAUUAUAUUUUGGAUAAAAUAUAUUACUAACAUUAAUUUUACUGUUUUCUUUUUACUUUUUAAAAAUGUGCCUUUUCAAAAAUUUAAGAUCACUUCUGUGGCUCACCCUGCAUUUUUACCAGGUGGUGUUGAUUUAGACAUUUGCUGACCUUACAUGGACCCUGAAGGAUUUCUGUUCCCUAUUGCAUAGCCAAGAAACAAGACUGAGAUUGAAGGGUAGGGCUGGAAGUAGAGGGAAGAUAGAAGCAGAUUGGAAGGGAAAAAAACUAAUCGCUGUGCCUGGAGCUAUAUGGGUUCAUGCCAAAAUAUGUACUUGUAUUUGCAUCUAUUUGUUUCUUUGAUUGCAUUGUACAUGAAGGAAAUAUCAGUCUUGUUAUUUUUUGGUUUUGUUAUCCAAGUAUCUUCUCUCCCUUAUUAGGCUUAGUUAUUUUCUAACUAGAGACACUUUGAUUCAUAGAAAUAUGAAAUAUGAAUGUAUCUUCAGCUCUUCUUCCUCCUUAUUUCUAAAGCAGGGAAACCAGGAAAACAUGAGAGAUUCACAGGGGCCACCACCACAAGAGGUCUUUGGUAAUUGAUAUGCUCUAAUGGCGGUAGCAGACUUUGUGGGUUACUAAACACUUUCUAUCCUUUCUCCCUUUCAACAAUACCCCAGUUUUGACCAAGUAUUCAACCUAUUGGAUUUUUUACUUUUUAUUAUUUAUUAUAUAAAUCUAUUCAUAGAAAACAAAAUCUGAAUGACCAAUAAACAUAAGAUGCUUAAUAUCAGUAGUCAGGGUUAUUUAAAUUAAACCAAAGAAAAUGAAACGCAUUUCAAAUUCAUCAAAUUAAAAUUAUUUUAAAUUAUUUCAAGUGUAAAUUAUUUUAUUAAAAUUAUUUUAAAGAAUUUGGAGCCGUAGAUAUUCUCAUAAGCUGCUGGUGGAAGCAUACAUUGGCACAACUGAGAAGGAAAUUUAACAAUAUCUAGUAUAGUUGAUACUAUACGUUUCAACCUAGCAAUUCUUCCUCUGAAUAUUUACCCUAGACACAUGGAGAAGAAUGUUCAUAGCAGCAGUGUUUGCAAUACUCUAAUCAAUAUAAGAAUGUGG